rnacentral:rRNA from 1 species
AGCAGCCGCGGUAAUUCCAGCUCCAAUAGCGUAUAUUAAAGUUGUUGCAGUUAAAAAGCUCGUAGUUGAAUUUCGGGAUUAGUACGCUGGUCGUGCCUUCGGUACGUACUGGUGUUACUGAUUCCUACCUUCCGACGAACCAUCAUGUCAUUAAUUUGGUGUGGUGGGAAAUCAGGACUGUUACUUUGAAAAAAUUAGAGUGUUUAAAGCAGGCUCGCGCUUGAAUACAUUAGCAUGGAAUAAUGAAAUAGGACGUUGACCCUAUUUUGUUGGUUUCUAGGAUUGACGUAAUGAUUAAUAGGGAUAGUUGGGGGCAUUAGUAUUCAAUUGUCAGAGGUGAAAUUCUUGGAUUUAUUGAAGACUAACUACUGCGAAAGCAUUUGCCAAGGAUGUUUUCAUUAAUCAAGAACGAAAGUUAGGGGAUCGAAGACGAUCAGAUACCGUCGUAGUCUUAACCAUAAACUAUGCCGACUAGGGAUCGGAUGAUGUUAUUUUUAAUGACUCAUUCGGCGCCUUACGG